GGUCUGAGGAAAAUCAGGAGUCACAAGAACGCCAGCGUGGACCCUGUUCAGAACCAAGUUCAGAAUCCGGAAUAUUGUUUAUUUAUUGUCUGAACAGAGUUUAAAAAUAUAACUGGUCGUAAAUACGUUUAAAGGCUCGACCUCCGCUCACCUGUGACAGGUAUUUUAUUUUUUAUUGAAUCUCAGCGAACACACACAGCUGCUUGUUGUUGAUGUCACUCAAAAUCUUAUUGUUACCUAGGUUAACUAGCGUCAGUUAGUUAGCGUUAGCUAAGAACACUUAAAAUGAACAUUAAUAAUUUUAUAAGAAGUGGGAAAGUAAGGAGUUGUUUGGACCAAUUUUUGGACUGUAACUGAAUUUCUGAAGUUUUACAGUGUAAGUUAGUGUUACAGCGACAUUAUAUUAUUUGUAAAUAUGUGAGUGUGUGUUGUAUAUAACGUGUUUGUUUUCCCCCAUAUUUUGACCAAGGGAUGUGUGACUUGUAGUACACAACAAGUACAAGUGAAGGAGUGAAUUUGGGAGGAGACUCGCCAACCUGUACAUUUACCUAAGGACGCCUGUACAAACCCGUGGAUACAAACAUUAAACCACAGAUGGAUAUAAAGCUGAUAUGUGAUCCCCCUCAAGUUCAUGUCUAAGGUCAGCAGUUACCUGAAGGUCCACCAGAGAGUAAGCUUGAUGGAGACAGGUAGACGAGACAGGUCAGGUAGAGUUACACCUGUUGCCUGUACAGUGUGUGCUUGUAGUGUGUGGUGUUCUGGCUGCCCCUCUCAUCCACCUCAGCUCUUCAUCUCUGCUCAACCUCCCAGGGUAAGCAAUUGGGUUAUUAAAUAUGAAUGGGAGAAGGGAAGGGGAGGUACAUAUU
rnacentral:lncRNA from 1 species